CACAAGAAGCGCACUCGGUUGCAUCAGGCUCUGGUAAUUUCUUUCCGUGCCGGUAUCCGGGGUCAGAUCUCAGAUCGCUCCUCGGUCGGAACGAAGCCUCGAGACGAACCAACCGACGCACGUACCCUGUGGCCACUGACAACAUGAGCCAGCGAAGGGGCCGGACCCAUCUGCAGCCGCUGGUUUCGGCUGGAGCCGUGUUCUGCUCACGUACAGGCAGUUUUUUAAUGCCUCGUUUCUCUUUCCCCCCUUCCCUUAUCUUCUGCCUCUCGCUCCAUCCAGGUCCUAUGCGGAUCUCAUGAACGAACGAACCCUAGACUAUUUCCGCGUGAUCUUCUCAAGCAGAUCUCUCUCGGCCCGGGAGGGGGCGCGGCAAUUGCUCGAGGAUCAGUCGUUCCCUUUUUGGUGCAUAAAUAAAGGUAAAUAAAGGAUGGGGUGUAGCUUCGCUUCCGUUCGUUGGCAUGUUGAGCUUUUGUGCAGCGGUAGAGCUCCUCAUUGGCCCGUCGGUCACCCAAUAUUUGUGAUGGAUCUAUAAAGAUGAAAAAUUUUGCCGAGUAGCCCCGCGUCAAUUUGUACAUGGAGAAGUGCCGACAAAAAGGUACACAUGCUAUGAUCACACUGUACAAUUUCCCACCUGGUUAUUUGGUAGUUCAAUUACUUGUAUUCCUUAAGUCAUAGAAGUUACUCCAGCUCUGUCGAGAUCUGCUCUCAUCUAGCCAUGCAUUUGAAAGUGAUCAACUCUAAAUAUCAUGCUAUAUGGCGAACACAUAGUUGACAUGCUCCGUGGAGCAAUCUUUUUUGUUUGAUUUCCAUUUCAUACCCGGUCUUCCUUUUUACUAUGGAAAAUCUACAUUCUGACCAUUCAAUUUGUGCCACUCUUAAAUGGACUGCCUAGUUGCGGCCAUGACCACCUCCAUGACCACUGCCACCCUCACCACCUACGUAGAAUGCGGGAAUGGACCUUGAUGGCUUGGAAAUGCACCUUGGCGGUGGUGGCCCAGGCCGGCCUUUCGUCUGCAACUGCAGGCACGGGACCCAAAUCUAGCUCUAUUUGUGCGUCCAUUUGCGGAACCUCCUCCAGGAAAGGUCCAUCUGCUCCCAAAGGGGGGAUAGAGGGUUCAUGUGCUGCCUUCCUCUUCCUCAUCCCGAAAACUAAAGACGAGGGGCAACUCUCCGGAUGUGCCAUCGAAGACGAUGUUCGGGGGUUGGAAGCAGACGAGAUGAGAAUGGGCGGUGCCACAAAGAGAAUCGGAGCAAGAUAGGGGAGGGCGGUGUCCUUAUACACCGCUAUGAGUGCCAUUAAGGAGGCACUUGGGUAGGCUGGAAACGACGAGCAGUCAAAGGGCAUGUUCCCCAGUGAGAAAUGUUGACGUGGGCUGCUCGUGCGCUUCUCGACUGCUCAGACUAUCACGGUUGCUCGCACAACUCCUCUCAACCAGCUCAUACGCAAGCCAUGAGAUGAUGUCGCGCGUGGCGGCCAUGCAACGGGCCGGCCAUGGCAACCCGAUGGAGUGGCAUUACUGGUUGGAUGCCCGUCGCCGGUGGUGCUUGGAAGGUUGGGCUACUUCAAAUCCCAUGUGGGACGCCGGGAGGAAGAACUUGAAACUUACCUACCGUGCUAGUUGUUUUGGUUGGAGCAAGUGUCGUAUUGGCCCUCCCAGCCUCAAUAUUUGAAGGCAACACGGUCGGUUAUCGAGUGCCCUCCAUAAAUUAUGGCGAUCGUGAGCCAUAUGUCGACUUGGUCGUUCGUCGUUAGAUUGUUUGUCGGUGGUUCUCCUGUGCAGUCUCUUGCAUCGGCCGCCAUAGCCAAAUUCAAUUUUCAGGCAACUUACUUCCAGCUAAACUACAGUGGUAAUUAUGAUGCAAAAUGGUUGGAAGUUAAGAGUGGCAUAAACAAAAAUUCCCCUUUUAUUAUUGGGUCUUAUAUGGCAUGACGACGACGUUCUCUCUCUGUUUUUGAACUACCUGACAACGUUUCUCAGUUUGAUGCGGAUCAAAUCUAUGAUCUAGUGUUAAUUUUGACCGGCGUCGUCUUCUUUAACUCUGUGACGGUUACCAUAUCCGUCGGGGGAAGAUCUCCAUCAAACAAUUGUCCCAUGUCAGGAAGGGUGACAUAGCUGCUCAACUAGCAAGUACGCCAACUGUGAUGUCGCUGCUAGCUAAGCCGAAUUAGGCCUUGUACAAUGAGAGAUGCUUAGUAAAAUAAACCAACUUUUUUUAAACACAGAUGCUUAUUCUACAGAACAAAUGCUUAAUUAAGCGUCUACCCUCUACAAAUAAGCACUGAUGCUUAAAGAAAAACUGAUUUAUUUCUCUAAGCACCUACUCCAAGCACCUUGCAUUGUACAGGACCUUAGGACCUAGCGCCUCCAAGCCAAUCACUUGCCGUGACAGGUCCUGGCCGGGCUACCACUGGAGGGUAACCGAACACGGUCCUGUAUGCAUCACGAGGCUCUAGGCCAGGAGCUGUCACGCCCAGCAAACGCAAACCAAAUAGCACUAGCCCACUGCCCAAUCACACUGCAACUGAUUAUACCCUAGCUCAAAAAAGAGGUCAAUGCCAAAUGACAUCCAAACAACUUUUGACAGCAUAUUUCAACAGCAAUAGAUGACGGCAUAAUUCGAUUACUAUUGCAAAAAUUUCCAUCCCAGCGUCAUCAAAGUCACCACAUUUGUCCACUGAUUCAACAGCAAUAGACGACGGCGUAAGUCUCAGAUUCAGUGAUAAUCAGAUGAUAGCAGGGAUUCGAGUAAACCCACAAGUUUUUUAACCCAAAAUUUAUCUCAACUUGUAACCACCCAUUUGUCCGCUACUAUGUCCAUUUGCAUAUGCCCUUCUCCGGUAGCCUGCAGAGAAUUUAUAAGAACAAGUUGUUCAGUAACUUUGGACAAUGAACAGAGGAGAAAAACAUAGCAAAGAAUUUACAGCGUCGAGUUGUUCAGUAACUUUGUAUUGUACAUUGCACAAAUCAGAAACAUAUGCAAAUGUUUAGGGACUGAGAUCAAGUUCAUCUGCAACAUAUGUAAACCAGAAACGUAUGCGGCAAGUACAGUACAUUCUGUGUCGCACAUUGAGAAGCGUUCUCUCUUCUUUUUUUCUCCAACUCAGCAAAUAUCAUACAUAGAUCUUGAUGCCAUCACAAGAAUGCAAAAUAUAGCCCAUAAAUGAAACGUCACAAACAAUCCUUACCAAAGUUUGAGAAAAAUUGUGAAAACAUUUAGUUUAGAGGAAUUUUGUAGGAAAAAUAAUUUUGGAGCUCUUUGGCUUGUACUAAUGAAUUCAUAUUCCUAUGUAGGAUAGGAACCAAUCCAUCACAUUUCAAAGAAAAAAAAUAGCCUAGAUGUAAUGGAAAAGUUCCUAUCCUAUGGAUCAAGUGACAUCUCUUUCCCUAUAGGAAUUGAGAUACAUGUCAUCUCACUUCCUAUGGUUAAUUCCUAUAAUAUUCCUAUCCUAUGAACCAAAGGAGGCCUUAUUCAUAUAGAAAAAGAUUCACAUCAAUUUAAAACUUGGUACAAAUACAGAUUAGGUUGAUUCAUCACUGGCUUGUCUUUUCACCAAAUAUCACAUGUAGCUGCUUUUCACCAAAUAUCACAAGUAUGUUCAGAAAUAGAAGAAGUAUCAAAUUGUAUGAUGCAACAAGAUACAGCAAACAAAAGGGAGGAACCCUUCAACUGAUUGCAAUGAUGAAGGCUAAUGGUUCAGAUUUCAGAGAGACUUCAGAGAGACCAAUGGAUGGAUUCACAGGUCUGGUGUAUUUACAGGCAGACCGACCAACAGAGAAUUCACGGUCUAAAGACUUGAUCUCAUUUGCUGGUGCAGCCUUCACAGUUGUUAAAGAAUUUACUGUCGUAUUGAUUUUGAUGGGUCUCACCGGUUGGAUAUGGACCAAAGAAUUUAAUGAGUCGACUGUCAGAAAAAUAAACAUGAGCGAGACUAACUGGAAAUAUUUAAUAACCCCACCACAGAUAUUUGAAGAACAGCUAUUUAAUAACCCCACCACAGAUAUUUGAGGAAGCGCUCACAGGUCGUCUAAGACAUGCGUGACUAUAUGACACCAUAUAUACUUAGUAGUUAGUACUAGGACUGAGCCUAUUAGAUAUGCGUGAUUAUAUGACACCAUAUCCAUGAACAUGACCAAUCACAGUAAUAGUUUGAGCAUGACAGGGAGUUGUGAUCGACCGGAGUUGAAUGGCAAGGUUAGCGAAGCAAAUAGUGACUAGAAGCUUGAUGCCACCCACUUUCAGAAGAUGCAUUUACUGGUCUAGGAAAAGGAACAGAGAAGAUAUUGCAGACCAAAGGAGGCUCCAGGCCAGGAGCGUCACGCCCAGGCCCAGCACAAGCAAACGAAAUUACACUGGCCCGCUACCCAAUUACGCUGCAUCUGAUUGCACCGUAACUCAAAAGCAGGAUUUGACUACAAGCCGUCUCAAACAAGAAGAUUCGACAGUACUAAUAGAUUCACAAACCAUCUUUAUCACCACCAUCAGCCACCACAGGCCACCUGGUGAACAGAAAAUAUCCUACUUCGUAUCACUAUUGUACAGUCAAGAUCUCAAAACUGUACGCUUGCUGUCACGACAAAGAAGAAUGCAAGCUCUGAUCUCAUGUCAAAUAUAGCCCAUAACUGAAACUUUAGAUAAAUCCAUACCCAAGUUUGAGAAAAUUGUGAAAACAUGUAUUCAUACUCUCUCCGUUCCUAAAUACAAGAAUGCAUUAUGUAAACAGUAGAGCUUGUACUCAAGAAAAGGUAACACAUUAAGUUGUACAUGGAGGGCAGGUUUUGCACUGCAUCAGAACAUCUUAAAGCAAGACAUGUCCCAUCCUCCAUGAUAUCAAUUAUGCAGGACCGCUCUCAGCAACAGUAGGCAGAACAACACCAUGCUGCCCACACAAAAUCCUGCAGUUUCAAGUGAAAGCAAGCAGAGAUGCACAGCAAUACACCAUCUCUUGUCAAGGCUUUAUGCACUAUACGACCAAAUCACGAAAAUCUAAAAUCUAAUGUACCGGUCGAUUGAAUUGCAUACUUGACUACACAUUUCACAAAAUCCAUUUUGGGUUAAAAAAAGGUGUGAGAUUGACAUAUAGGAAGGUUGGUAAGCUGUUGCCUAUUGCAGUGGGCAGGCCGACCAGAAUUCAUUCCUUAUUGGUUUGACUACAGCCGAAUUUGGCAAAAGUCCUAAAACGUUGCUGUCUCGAAUCUAAACCACACGCACGUGCAAAUCACCUCCAACAUCCAUACCCACUCAAUCAAUUGAUCACGUCUAGACCCCAAGCCGCACCAGCCCGGAACACACGAUCGGGAAACAAAUCGAACCUGAUAUUCAGCGGGGGGCCGGCCCGAACUUCUUUGUGUAGAAGCGGCGGUGCGCCGCCUGCUGGACCUUCCGCGCCCCCUUGUUGUCCGCGCGGCUCGCCUUGGUCCUGUAGAUCCGUGUCAGCAGAAGCUAUCGCAACCGAACCAGAAGGACAGAAAUCGAAGGACGACUCACCACCAAGCUCCAUGUGGCCCGCGAGUAGAGGCGAAGAGACGGCGGGCCAGGCGGCGGAGGUGCUCGCGGUACACGUAGGCAGUGAUGAUGCCGCCGCCCAUGAGAAGAGGCCCUUUGCCCGCUCGAGAGGCCGUGCGGGCGACGGCGCGGCCGGCGGCGACGGCGAGGGCGGCAGCGCUGACGAAAACCCUAGCCAUGUCUCGCGUCUCGCUCGUGUGGGAGGGAAGGGAUGGAGCUGGCUGUGGGAGGAACAGGUGAAAGUGGGGGGGGAUUCCGAGAGUGGGAGGGGCGUGCGUGUGUUGUGUGAUUGUGGUGGUGUUUGGUUUUCUAGUCACAGGACUUUUUUCCAGUCCUAGGACUUUUUGAAUAAGACGUUUAAGGAGGUGCUUUUAAGGAUUUUUAGUAAAAUGUUCUAAAAAAGUUCCCCUUGUUUGGUUUGCUAGAGACUUUUAGGGACUUUUUUUAGUCCCAACCUAAAAAAGUCCCUGAAACCAAACACCCCCUGUAUUUUUGGGGAUUGCUUAUGUUAAUUUUUUGGGGGAAUGUGUAUUUGUGAUUUGAUACCUUGGAUCUUAAAUGUCGGCGUCACUCCCUUCCCUAGACGACACGGGUGGCGGCGGCUCUGUCCUCCCUCCCCGCCCCUCUACCUCGCCUCUUCGCUCGCCGUCACUCAACCGGGUGAAACCCGGGCGGAGCUGAUGACAACGGGACUUGCUCCUCUUGUCUAGCCUCUGGCGGUGAGGGAAUCCCGCGGUAGCAACUGGUGGACCAUUCGGCGCCUCGAGGGGCGAUGUGUGCGGCGUGGGCGGUCUGCUAUUGCAGGUGCGGUGCGGGCAACGGCUAGUCCCCUUCCCUGGACUCGAGCAAGUAGAGGGGCGUAGGGCCCUGGACAAAAACAUUGUUCUCAAUGGGCUCGAUGGGUACUAGCGAUAAUGACACGUUGGUGCUCUCUCUUUUCGAGCAGUUGUUGAAGGGUUCCUCCUCUCCACUAGAACAAGGUUGGUCGGUUCUUAGACUUGUCAUGGUGGUUUAUAUCAUGGAUGACCUUUUCUCAAGGUUAGGCGAGGGGGUGGAGGUUUUCGGUGGCUCCAGGCAAAAAUGUUUAAGACUUUGACAAGGGAUGAUUUCAAUGGCAACGGUGCCCAUGGGUAUCGUUUCCUUCUUGAGGGCAUCUCCGGAGAACCCACAGGCUUCUCUUCAGGUUGAGGGCAUGUUGGCGGUGGAGGUCAUGCUUCGACAAUGUCGGCAUUGUUGUUCUAGUUUCCUUUUCCUCUCUUUGUGGUUUUUUUACAUGAUUGUCUCUUAAUAAAUCGUGUUUGCCUAAUUUUUGGCCUAAUUUUCCUUAUAAAUUGGGCUAUCUCUAUUCUUUAUGAAAUCGCAGGAGGACCCUUCCCUCAUGACAAGGUUUC